GGGUAAAGGCCUACCAGGGCGACGACGGAUAGCCGGCCUGAGAGGGUGGCCGGCCACAGGGGCACUGAAACACGGGUCCCACUCCUACGGGAGGCACCAGUUAGGAAUCUUCCACAAUGGGCGCAAGCCUGAUGGACCGACGCCGCGUGCGGGAUGAAGGCCUUCGGGUUGUAAACCGCUGUCGUAGGGAAUCAAGUGUACGAGGGUACUCCCUUGUAUUUGAGAGAUCCUAGGAGGAAGGGGAGGCUAACCUCGUGCCAGCAGCCGCGGUAAAACGAGCUCCCCAAACGUUAUUCGGUAUUACUGGGCUUAAAGAGUUCGUAGGCGGCUCUGCAGGUGAGAUGUGAAAGCCCUCGGCUUAACCGAGGAACUGCGUUUCAAACCACAGGGCUUGAGGGAGAUAGGGGUAAGCGGAACAGAUGGUGGAGCGGUGAAAUGCAUUGAUAUCAUCUGGAACACCGGUGGCGAAGGCGGCUUACUGGGUCUUUUCUGACGCUGAGGAACGAAAGCUAGGGUAGCGAACGGGAUUAGAUACCCCGGUAGUCCUAGCCGUAAACGAUGAGCACUAGUCUGAGGGACUCUCACAGUUUCUCGGACGUAGCGAAUGUGUUAAGUGCUCCGCCUGGGGAGUAUGGUCGCAAGGCUGAACUCAAAGG
rnacentral:rRNA from 1 species